UACAGAGGGGGCAAGCGUUGUUCGGAAUUACUGGGCGUAAAGGGCGCGUAGGUGGCCUGCUAAGUCGAACGUGAAAUCCCCGGGCUCAACCCGGGAACUGCGUCCGAUACUGGCAGGCUUGAAUCCGGGAGAGGGAUGUGGAAUUCCAGGUGUAGCGGUGAAAUGCGUAGAUAUUCGCAAGAACACCAGUGGCGAAGGCGGCUGACUGGUCCGGUUCUGACGCUGAGGCGCGAAAGCGUGGGGAGCAAACAGG
rnacentral:rRNA from 1 species